rnacentral:rRNA from 1 species
GACGAACGCUGGCGGCGUGCUUAACACAUGCAAGUCGAACGGUGAAGCGCCUUCCUUUUUGGUGGGUGUGGAUGAGUGGCGAACGGGUGAGUAACACGUGAGUAACCUGCCCCCUUCUUCUGGAUAACCGCAUGAAAGUGUGGCUAAUACGGGAUAUUCUGGGUCUGUCGCAUGAUGGGUCUGGGAAAGAUAUUGUUUCGGUGGGGGAUGGGCUCGCGGCCUAUCAGCUUGUUGGUGGGGUGAUGGCCUACCAAGGCGGUGACGGGUAGCCGGCCUGAGAGGGUGGACGGUCACACUGGGACUGAGGCACGGCCCAGACUCCUACGGGAGGCAGCAGUGGGGAAUAUUGCACAAUGGGCGCAAGCCUGAUGCAGCGACGCCGCGUGAGGGAUGGAGGCCUUCGGGUUGUGAACCUCUUUCGCCAGUGAAGCAGGCCUGCCUCGUUUGUGGGUGGGUUGACGGUAGUUGGAUAAGAAGCGCCGGCUAACUACGU